rnacentral:rRNA from 1 species
UACGUAGGGUGCAGGCGUUAAUCGGAAUUACUGGGCGUAAAGCGUGCGCAGGCGGUUUGCUAAGACAGGUGUGAAAUCCCCCGGGCUUAACCUGGGAACUGCGCUUGUAACUGGCAAGCUAGAGUGUGGCAGAGGGGGGUGGAAUUCCGACGUGUAGCAGUGAAAUGCGUAGAGAUGUGGAGGAACACCGAUGGCGAAGGCAGCCCCCUGGGCUAACACUGGACGCUCAUGCACGAAAGCGUGGGGAGCAAACAGG